CCAGAUAAUGUAAAAGUCAGCACUGAGCAUAUUACUGAUGAGGAAACAAGGUCACAAGUGCAGUCGAUCGUACAGGCCGAGAAUGAUCUACAGCUGCAAGAUGCAGUUGCACAGGCAGCCAGCUUGAUCAGUCUUGCUGGUCACAAUGUUUGCAUAACACUUCAAAACAAACAAGAAACUGCUUUGGAUCUGGCUCACUGGUAUGUCCUUCAACGGACCCGUGCACCUUUUGAAAGGUUCAGAGAUGGCUUGAGGUCUCUAGGUGUCCUAGAUGCUCU